UGGAGUUGUGGGUCCACAGUGGGUCUUUCCUAGUUUCAUCAUUCCUUUGGAGCUUCUUGCGUUUGAAGCAAUUCCUGUGCUAAAGAACACCUUCCGAGAAGACGUUUCUGAUUCACAUGCACACCGUAACUGUCCUCGGAUGUGCAAGAUGAAGUUUAAAGCAAGUAAGAAGAAAGGUUUUUCUUUGAAAGAAAUAUAUGACCAACUUGGUACAACUAAGGAGAUUGAUAGUAUGUUAACUCCAACUCCUCGGGAGGCACGCCUUUUAGCCAUGAUCAUAGAUGAGGAUGGUGGUUGGGAUGAUGCGGAUGAU